rnacentral:rRNA from 1 species
AUUGAACGCUGGCGGCAUGCUUUACACAUGCAAGUCGAACGGUAACAGGCCUUCGGGUGCUGACGAGUGGCGAACGGGUGAGUAAUGCAUCGGAACGUACCCAGAGGUGGGGGAUAACGCAGCGAAAGCUGUGCUAAUACCGCAUGUGAUCUGAGGAUGAAAGCGGGGGACCGAGCAGCAAUGUUUGGCCUCGCGCCUUUGGAGCGGCCGAUGUCGGAUUAGCUAGUUGGUGGGGUAAAGGCCUACCAAGGCGACGAUCCGUAGCUGGUCUGAGAGGACGGCCCGCCACCCUGGGACUGAGACACGGCCCCGACUCUUACGGGAGGCAGCGGUGGGGAAUUUUGGACAAUGGGCGCAAGCCUGAUCCAGCAAUGCCGCGUGCGGGAAGAAGGCCUUCGGGUUGUAAACCGCUUUUGGCAGGAACGAAACGGUGUCCGCUAAUACCGGGCGCUAAUGACGGUACCUGCAGAAUAAGCACCGGCUAACUACGUG